rnacentral:rRNA from 1 species
AACGUAGGAGACAAACGUUAUCCGGAGUUACUGGGCGUAAAGGGCGUGUAGGUGGUUUCGUAAGUCUGGCGUGAAAUUUUUCGGCUUAACCGGGAAAGGUCGUCGGAUACUGCGGAGCUAGAGGACGGUAGAGGCGUGUGGAAUUCCGGGUGUAGCGGUGAAAUGCGUAGAUAUCAGGAGGAACACCGGUGGUGUAGACGGCUUUCUGGACCGUAACUGACGCUGAGACACGAAAGCGUGGGUAGCAAACAGG